rnacentral:rRNA from 1 species
UUGCACAAUGGGCGCAAGCCUGAUGCAGCUAUGUCGCGUGUAUGAAGAAGACCUUAGGGUUGUAAAGUACUUUCAAUAGCAUAAGAAGGUAAUGAAACUAAUAAUUUUGUUAUCAGACGUUAGCUAUAAAAGAAGCACCGGCUAACUCCGUGCCAGCAGCCGCGGUAAUACGGAGGGUGCUAGCGUUAAUCGGAAUUACUGGGCGUAAAGAGCACUUAGGUGGUUUAUUAAGUCAAGUGUGAAAUCCCUAGACUUAAUCUAGGAACUGCAUUUGAAACUAAUAGACUAGAGUUUCGUAGAGGGAGGUAGAAUUCUAGGUGUAGCGGUGAAAUGCAUAGAUAUCUAGAGGAAUAUCAGUGGCGAAGGCGACCUCCUGGACGAUAACUGACGCUAAAAUGCGAAAGCAUGGGUAGCAAACAGGAUUAGAUACCCUGGUAGUCCAUGCUGUAAACGAUGUCGACUAAGAAGUUGAAAGCUUUGACUUAUAAUUUCUGUAGCUAACGCGUUAAGUCGACCGCCUGGGGAGUACGGCCGCAAGGCUAAAACUCAAAUGAAUUGACGGGGGCCUGCACAAGCGGUGGAGCAUGUGGUUUAAUUCGAUGCAACGCGUAAAACCUUACCUGGUCUUGACAUCCACAGAAUUUUAUAGAAAUAUAAAAGUGCAAUUUGAACUGUGAGACAGGUGCUGCAUGGCUGUCGUCAGCUCGUGUUGUGAAAUGUUGGGUUAAGUCCCGCAACGAGCGCAACCCUUGUUUUUUGUUACCAUCAGAUAAAGCUGGGGACUCAAAAGAAACUGCCAGUUAUAAACUGGAGGAAGGUGGGGACGACGUCAAGUCAUCAUGGCCCUUACGACCAGGGCUACACACGUGCUACAAUGGCGUAUACAAAGAGAUGCAAUAUUGUAAAAUAAAGCUAAUCUAUAAAAUACGUCUUAGUUCGGACUGGAGUCUGCAACUCGACUCCACGAAGUCGGAAUCGCUAGUAAUCGUGGAUCAGCAUGCCACGGUGAAUAUGUUUCCAGGCCUUGUACACACCGCCCGUCACACCAUGGAAGUGGGUUGCAAAAGAAGUAGAUUAAUUUAACCUUCUUAACAAGAAAAUAGUUUACCACUUUGUGAUUCAUGA